GCAUAACUCUAGCUAUAGAAAGAGUGAAAUCCAAUAAUCUAUUUCAAUUUAUCCCUGUACUCAAAACUAAAUAGGUAAGUAAUGCAAUCGCUACCUACUUAUACUCCCUUGAUAAUAUUUAUUAUAUUCUUAAAAUUACAUAAUCAUCCAUACCAACUUUUAUCAACUAAUAUCCAUAUUCUUGAUAAAGAGAUAAUAUCUUCUCCUCCGUACAAAGUACUAUGCAUUUAAAUCAUUUCCUCACUUAUUUCUGCCUUCUAUUCAUCUCUCCUCACCCCUCCAAUGCGAAAAUUAUUAGAUUUACAUAGAACUUUCACCACGUUUUACCAUUACAUUCAUUUACCAUAAAUCAUCUGGAAAACGGAAGUUCAUUAUCUAUC
rnacentral:lncRNA from 1 species